AGAGUUUGAUUCUGGCUCAGAUUGAACGCUGGCGGCGUGCUUAACACAUGCAAGUCGAACGUGAAAGUCCUUCGGGAUGAGUAAAGUGGCGCACGGGUGAGUAACGCGUGGAUAAUCUACCCUUAAGAUGGGGAUAACGGCUGGAAACGGUCGCUAAUACCGAAUACGCUCCCGAUUUUAUCAUUGGGGGGAAAGAUGGCCUCUGCUUGCAAGCUAUCGCUUAAGGAUGAGUCCGCGUCCCAUUAGCUCGUUGGCGGGGUAACGGCCCACCAAGGCGACGAUGGGUAGCCGGUCUGAGAGGAUGACCGGCCACACUGGAACUGGAACACGGUCCAGACUCCUACGGGAGGCAGCAGUGGGGAAUAUUGCGCAAUGGGCGAAAGCCUGACGCAGCGACGCCGCGUGAGGGAUGAAGGUUCUCGGAUCGUAAACCUCUGUCAGGGGGGAAGAAACCCCCUCGUGUGAAUAAUGCGAGGGCUUGACGGUACCCCCAAAGGAAGCACCGGCUAACUCCGUGCCAGCAGCCGCGGUAAUACGGAGGGUGCAAGCGUUAAUCGGAAUCACUGGGCGUAAAGCGCACGUAGGCGGCCCGGUAAGUCAGGGGUGAAAUCCCACAGCCCAACUGUGGAACUGCCCUUGAUACUGCCGGGCUUGAGUACCGGAGAGGGUGGCGGAAUUCCAGGUGUAGGAGUGAAAUCCGUAGAUAUCUGGAGGAACACCGGUGGCGAAGGCGGCCACCUGGACGGUAACUGACGCUGAGGUGCGAAAGCGUGGGUAGCAAACAGGAUUAGAUACCCUGGUAGUCCACGCCGUAAACGAUGGGUGCUGGGUGCUGGGAUGUAUGUCUCGGUGCCGUAGCUAACGCGAUAAGCACCCCGCCUGGGGAGUACGGUCGCAAGGCUGAAACUCAAAGAAAUUGACGGGGGCCCGCACAAGCGGUGGAGUAUGUGGUUUAAUUCGAUGCAACGCGAAGAACCUUACCCAGGCUUGACAUCUAGGGAACCCUUCGGAAAUGAAGGGGUGCCCUUCGGGGAGCCCUAAGACAGGUGCUGCAUGGCUGUCGUCAGCUCGUGCCGUGAGGU
rnacentral:rRNA from 1 species